UAAGUAACCUGGAUUAGGUACUAAACUUUUAAUUUAGCUACGAUAAAAUACUAUCCUUA
rnacentral:tRNA from 1 species